UACGUAAGGACCGAGCGUUGUCCGGAAUCAUUGGGCGUAAAGGGUACGUAGGUGGUUAGAAAAGUUAGAAGUGAAAGGCUAUAGCUCAACUAUAGUAAGCUUUUAAAACUGUUUAACUUGAGAGAUGGAAGGGAAAGUGGAAUUCCUAGUGUAGCGGUGAAAUGCGCAGAUAUUAGGAGGAAUACCGGUGGCGAAGGCGACUUACUGGGCUCAUUCUGACGCUGAGGAACGAAAGCGUGGGUAGCAAACAGG
rnacentral:rRNA from 1 species